UACGAAGGUGUCUAGCGUUGUUCGGAAUCACUGGGCGUAAAGCGGGCGCAGGCGGACUAUCCAGUCAGGGGUGAAAUCCUGAGGCUUAACCUCAGAAUUGCCUUUGAAACUGAUAGUCUGGAGUGUGUGAGGGGGUAGCGGAAUUCCGAAUGUAGAGGUGAAAUUCGUAGAUAUUCGGAGGAACACCGGUGGCGAAGGCGGCUACCUGGCACACAACUGACGCUGAGGCCCGAAAGCGUGGGGAUCAAACAGG
rnacentral:rRNA from 1 species